rnacentral:rRNA from 1 species
CCUACGGGAGGCAGCAGUGAGGAAUAUUGGUCAAUGGGCGCAAGCCUGAACCAGCCAAGUCGCGUGAGGGAUGACGGUCCUAUGGAUUGUAAACCUCUUUUGUCGGGGAGCAAGGCCCGCCACGUGUGGCGGGAAGGAGAGUACCCGAAGAAAAAGCAGCGGCGACCCCCGUGCCAGCAGCCGCGGUACUACGGAGGAUGCGAGCGUCAUCCGGUUUUAUUGGGUUAAAAGGGCGCGUAGGCGGAAGGUUAAGUCAGUGGUCAAAUGUCGGUGCUCAACACCGGCCUGCCGUUGAAACUGGUCGUCUUGAGUGAGCGAGAAGUAUGCGGAAUGCGUGGUGUAGCGGUGAAAUGCAUAGAUAUCACGCAGAACUCCGAUUGCGAAGGCAGCAUACCGGCGCUCAACUGACGCUGAGGCACGAAAGCGUGGGGAUCGAACAGGAUUAGAUACCCUUGUAGUC